AAAGCGUUCAUUAAAGUCGAGUUGGCUUAGGGAUACGUUCGUUGGGUAGGGGAGCGUUCUGUAAGCCUGUGAAGGUGGCCUGUGAGGGUUGCUGGAGGUAUCAGAAGUGCGAAUGCUGACAUAAGUAACGAUAAAGCGGGUGAAAAGCCCGCUCGCCGGAAGACCAAGGGUUCCUGUCCAACGUUAAUCGGGGCAGGGUGAGUCGACCCCUAAGGCGAGGCCGAAAGGCGUAGUCGAUGGGAAACGGGUUAAUAUUCCCGUACUUGGUGUUACUGCGAAGGGGGGACGGAGAAGGCUAUGUUGGCCGGGCGACGGUUGUCCCGGUUUAAGCGUGUAGGUGUGUGUUCCAGGUAAAUCCGGUUCACUUUAACACUGAGGCGUGACGACGAGGCACUACGGUG
rnacentral:rRNA from 1 species